rnacentral:rRNA from 1 species
CCUUUAGAGUUUGAUCCUGGCUCAGAUUGAACGCUGGCGGCAGGCCUAACACAUGCAAGUCGAGCGGUAACAUUUCUAGCUUGCUAGAAGAUGACGAGCGGCGGACGGGUGAGUAAUGCUUGGGAAUAUGCCUUAGGGUGGGGGACAACAGUUGGAAACGACUGCUAAUACCGCAUAACGUCUACGGACCAAAGGGGGCUUCGGCUCUCGCCCUUAGAUUAGCCCAAGUGGGAUUAGCUAGUUGGUGAGGUAAUGGCUCACCAAGGCGACGAUCCCUAGCUGGUUUGAGAGGAUGAUCAGCCACACUGGAACUGAGACACGGUCCAGACUCCUACGGGAGGCAGCAGUGGGGAAUAUUGCACAAUGGGCGCAAGCCUGAUGCAGCCAUGCCGCGUGUGUGAAGAAGGCCUUAGGGUUGUAAAGCACUUUCAGUAAGGAGGAAAGGUUAGUAGUUAAU